GAAAACACGUCAUGAGUGAAAAUGACAAGGCCAAGGCUGAGGGUUCGGUAAAACAACGGAGCCCAUGGGAGGAUGCCCAGGUUGACCUGCGGUUACAGGCUUCAUGGCAUCAGAAAGCAACAUUUUUCAGAACUCCAUUUUCUCCUUCCACUUUUUCCUUGGUCCUGGGCAUGGCUCUCAAGUCAUCAGAUUUAGAAAGCAAGAACUUUUACUUGCUGAACCUCCUUUGUGAAUUUGAAAUGGACGUAGGAGUCAGAUUGAAUCCAGCUGGGUGACAAGCACUGCCUAGAGAAAACGACUUAUCCAAAGACUGUUCCCUUGGUCUGAGGUGGAAGAUGAAGACGCGGAUUGAGGGGGAGCAAUCAAGGAGGGGUCCUGUUGUCCCUGGGAAGCAGGAAGAUGGUCAAGGCUUUAUGUCACAGCUGCCUUCUUUUCACCUUCUCUUAGUUAAACAACAUUUUCCCAUUACUCUGUUUUUUUUUUCUGAAUAAAUUCCAUAAGAUGUAGUCAUAUAUUUUA